GAUACAGACCCUGGUGUAGACCCUGAUGUAGACCCUGAUACAGACCCUGAUACAGACCCUGAUACAGAACCUGAUGUAGACCCUGGUGUAGACCCUGAGUCAGAAUGUGCACGACCAACAUGCUUCUCAUCAUAUAAGUUUUAUUCUGACCAACAACAUGGAGAUGUGGAAUUAAAGGACUGUGAGUCAGGACAGGAAGUAAUUUACCUGCAGAUGUUCAGGAGUUCUGGAGGAGAAAGAACCAGGAGGAACCUUCCGCUAGAGGAAGCGAGUGGAAGUAAAAGAUUGAGAUAUUGAGAACAUACGAGGUGUGAGUAUUAGAUUCUGACACAAUGAGCCAUAGAAUUAAAUGAGAAUCAACUAUAUAUUUUGUAGACAGAAUAAUAAACUUUAUUAUUUUCCUCAUUUCAUCAUUAAUAAUCCAUCGUGUCACAGAAAGUUCAGGCGAAGAAGACAUUCUGUGAAGCUGUAGAGACGAUCAAUGAUUCUAUUGAUGAGUUUAUCUGAGCGAUCGAUCGAUUUUGAAAGUUGUUGCUGAAGGAAUUGUUUUUGUCCAUCGAUUUAUCAGUUGAUCGACAAAUCGACUCGUAAUCUGACCUCGGAUCUGAUGUUACUUUGUUUCUUCUCUUAUGAACCACCGGUACAAAUCUCAGAUGAAAGAAAGCAACAUCAGAUCCGAGUUUAGAUAACUAGUUGUUUCACAGCUGAUUUAUUGAUCUGCUGUUUGUGAGGAAUGAACGUGAAUCCAACCGACGGGCUCUGAUCUGCUGGUACAUGUCGAAGAUUCAACCCUGAAGCCAGAGCAGAGAUUUACUGUCUAAUGUCUCUGCAGGUCCAUGUGUAUUUAUAGAUUCUAUAAGGUCUUUUCACACAUGCAGGUAAAAGCUACGUUCCAUCGAACGUCCUGUCACAUGGUUUCAGUGACACAUCAGCAAGAUGAAGCUCAGGUUCUCCUGUUGAAGGGGCAGAGGACCCUGGGUCAGCAUUUCAAUCCAAUACACUUCUGUAACAUUCAGUGAAUAUUCCCUCAGGUUCUGUGUGCAGCCCUGGAUGCUGCGACCUCACAACACUGCAGGGACUCGAGCUCCAGUCGCUACGACUCUGCUGGUUGGAGCUCCGAACAGAGCGGAGUCAAAACUACUGAACCCAUUCCCACAAACCUGCGAGGAAGCUCGGGACACGAGCCAAGAGAGAAUCCUUCUAACAGGAAUCUUGAAUCCCUUUCGUCAACACUGAGAUUAAAAUCAGACACGAUGAUUCUCUGAGUGUUCGGAGCUGGAAGCUGCAGAGUUCAGAGUUAAAACGUGAGGGAGGUGAAUCACAUGAAGGUCGAGGGUCACCACACUGCUCUGGACACAGAACAGGAUCAUGAUGAAAAGAAGGACCGAUUUUUUAUGUAAGUCCAGGGAACCGCUGUUACACGUGAAAUAAGAGACGACGUUCAACUGCAAACAACCGUCAGUGAGUUUUGAGCCGCGCAGCGACUGAAGCUAACGUAGCUCUGCAACCGGGAGUUGACGUGGAUGAGUGACAUCCGAACUGGAGCCACAACACGACGCUCAGGGACGUUUCAACUUGAAUCUCCACAUUUCGACUCAUUUCUUUUCUCUUGUCUGUCCCCGAUACUCUUCCGUAGAGGACAGUGUCGGAGGACGAGAGCUGUGUAGAAACAUCUCGUGGAAGUGGAGACGUUUCUUGAAAAAGUGUCCUCACUUGGGACGAGGCCAAACUUUGGCACCGGGAGACAUUUUUGAAAAGAGAUGAGAUUCAUGGAUAAUUCUAAGAAGUGUGGACAUGUUGGGAUGUAAAGACAUUCUGGGACGGUAUUUUUUUAGGAAAAUGGACUUUUCAUUUGAGCGCGAAGACGUUUCACCUGCGAGUCUCUAGACGUGAGAACAAACUGAUGUUGAAACACAUUCCUGAGUUUCUCUCCUCUGAUAAUUUCCCCUCGACAGUUUGAGGUUGUGAACCUCCAGGGAAUCACUGCAGGUUCAUGCAACGUCCUCACAAGUCAUGUGGUGUGUCCCCUCCAGGCUUCCAUACACCUGCAGGACAUCCAGCCACCGUUUAACGGUUCAGAGACGCGUCUCAAACACUUAAAGUGAGAUGAAAAACGACGCCCAGAGGGACGAUGAGGAUUAUCUCACCUGUGAUACGUGCAAGUAUUAAAUCUGUCCCGGUCGCAGACGUGAAACAGCCUAUCAGAGCCGCUGGCGCUAACAGAACUCUGACAGGCUGCUCAACCGACAACGCUCAGGGAGAGGGAUCAAUCACAGGACGACCAGCAGGGGGCGGCGCCUCGGGGAUGGGACCAGGACGACCAG